ACCCGCCCCCCCGCCGUCGAAGGGAAAAUAGCUCGGAAGGUGCUGGGAAUACACUAGCCCUGUUGAGGUGUGGGGAGCAUUCGGGCUGGGGGCUCGGCGCUUUCUCUUGAGUGACAGCCCGGUCUACUGGCAGCUGCAGCUGGGGCCCCUGGGGCUAUUUUGGGGCGUGAGCUCACGGCAGCUGCGCUGGCGCAGGGGCCGGCGUGCCCCCCUCAGCUGUAGCAGCCGCUGCCCUUAAUUUAGAAGGUUCCUGUAAAUCCUCCUGGAUUAAAUGUCUCUUGAGAGGCGGGGCUCUUCCACAGCUUGAGUGCCUCAGUUUACCCUGAGUCCCAGACUCUGGGUUUGCGUCACCGAGGUGGUGGUGAUAGCGGAGAGUCUCACCGAGGACUUGAGGAAACUGAGGAAGGAAAAAGGAACAAGAGUUAAAGAAGAGGAAAAUAUGGAAAAGGCAGCCUCUUCUUUCCAACAGUCAGCCAUUUUCCAGAACCUGGGACCCCAUUUCUAGAGGAAUGGCUUGGAGAGAAGGUAAAUCUUCUCCAUGCCUGCACAUAAAGAAGGUUCAGCUGGACGGGGUCCCGGGAGUCCACGUUCUGGUCUGAGUAGAAGAACUUCCUCCGCAGCAGAAGGGUCUCUUGCUCCUCCACUCCCU